rnacentral:rRNA from 1 species
UACGAAGGGUGCAAACGUUGCUCGGAAUUAUUGGGCGUAAAGCGCACGUAGGCGGCAUUGCAAGUCGGAUGUGAAAUCCCUCGGCUUAACCAAGGAAGUGCAUCCGAAACUGCAGUGCUUGAGUACUUAAGAGGAUCGCGGAAUUCCCGGUGUAGAGGUGAAAUUCGUAGAUAUCGGGAGGAACACCAGUGGCGAAGGCAGCGAUCUGGGAAGAUACUGACGCUGAGGUGCGAAAGCGUGGGGAGCGAACAGG